rnacentral:lncRNA from 1 species
CAUGUGGACUUCUUUUGAGAACUGGAGGCCUGGACCUGACUCAGCCUGAGGCAUGGGAUCCCAGCACCACUUCUCAGGACCCAGAUGUAUAAGUUCUCCUGGAUUUCUUCCAGAUUUAGACAGCAUGAAAGGAGAGGCAAGUCAUGAAGGCUUUGCUGUCAUAGCUUUCCAUGGUAGCCCAUGCUGUGUUUCUGAUGCAGUGUGUACUUUGUCUUUGUUCUCGCUCUCUUUUUCUGUUUACCUGGUCCAAGCUUGCUCUGUAGAACAAGUUUCCCUCCCAUUCUUCAUUUUUGCUUUCUUGAAUAAACUUUGCCACUGCUUUUUGUUCAUUUUGUUCAAUUCUCUGUUGGAGGCAAGAAGAAGCUGGAAUCUGACUCCAGAAGGAGAGGCAAGCAAUCCAGAACCCGGUAACAUUCAGUUGCCAGCUGACUAUGGACUGAAACACAGCCACAAUAAACCUCUCCUUCCUUAGCUUGUGGGUGUUGGGUAUCUUGUGCCAUCACAGAGUAAAGUGGCCAAGACAUCAACACUGUCCAUCGGUAAGUGGCAGCCCAGAACAUAUCAUUCUCUUUUCUAGUAUGAAUAGGUGGGAAAAUGCCCAAAGAAGACCUAAAAAAAGAAUAUUGCAAGAUAAGGGAAAGGAUGCCUUUCCAUUAAAUGUUGAAGUAAGAUUGUAUCUCUGAAAAUAAAUUUUUCCAGGCAAGAGAACAUUUUAGCAGGCAUAUUUUUAGUACCCUCAAUAUGAUCAGGCAGACAGAGCCACUAUGAGAGUGGAACCAGAGGCCAUAAAGAGAACAGACUGGGACAAAGGCAGAUUUGUAAAGGUGGAAAUGAGAAAUAAGGGCAGAUAUACCAAAACUACCAAAGCAGAAUGAAAACAGGUACUGAGGCCAGGAAAGAGAGAGAAGACUCUACUCUAAAGCAGAAGACAAAAUAAGGGGAAAAGAACCAAGGUGAAAAUGCUAACUCAGAAGGCCGUACAGAGCUAAUGUAAAAAUUAUAUUUAUUCCCAAUGAAUAAAGUGAAUAAAAUAGUGGAAAUAAUGCUCGAACAUAUGGUAGGAGACCAUUUUCCUGAGCUGAAGAUCUGAGAUAAAAUUAAAAUUACUAGACUCAUACAGACACAUAUCUCGUAAAAUAUUUUGAAUUUCCAGGUUAAAGAAAGAACCCUUCAGGCAUUUAGACAGAAUUGAGCA